rnacentral:lncRNA from 1 species
UCCUUCGGUAGGAAAUAUUUUUGAAAUAUACCAAUUCGCAAACAAAAAGUAGAAAGCGCGUGGUGAUAAUGUGUUAACAAGUCAAAAAACGAAAAAUACAAGAAUAUGUGAGGAGAAAAGGAUUUUUAAUAAGGUAUUAUUUUUACAAUAUAAAGAAUACUAUUUAUAGGUUACGAGAGUGUAACCUUUACAUGAUUAACAUAAUUAUACUUAAACAUAAAGAUAAUAAUAAUUAAUUCUCAUCAUUAAUGCCACAAUGAGCAUUCAUAUUUUAAUAUUCAUUACAGUUAAUUGUUUUUCAUUUAAUAAUAAUAAUAACAACGAUUUAAUUAAAAUACAACACUUUAUUUCCCGUAAUCAUCUAGGAGAAGUUUUUUCUGGUCCUUCUUUACCUUAUCUUUUUAGUAGGCAAUUUUGAUUAAAUGCUAGUAAUGGCUGGGCAUUAGUGCUGAUUGCCAUUGUACAUAGUGCCCGCUCCACUGAGUAUUCCAUCUCCCGUUGUUGAAAUGGAGAUUAUUGCUGGCAAAAGAAAUUCAACGUUGAGGAAGAAAAAGGAAGAUUAUGCAACUCUUCUUUCUAAGAACACCAUAAACUUCUUUUUAAGGUUUGAGACUCUGCAUCUGUUUUUUUGGUAGAAGGAUAGGUCAGAGGAGAAAAAAGAGAAUGGAAUAGAAAAAAUAUAACGACAUUACCUUACUUUAUUUUAUUUCCCUCUAACAAUAAAAAUAAUAAUAUAAUAGAAAAUAAAAAAGGGGGGAAAAGCACCAAUAAUGUUAUGUCACAUGGUUGGGCUGCGGGAUCC